UGUCUCAAAGAUUAAGCCAUGCAUGUCUAAGUCCAAGCUGUGUUCACACGGCGAGACCGCGGACGGCUCAUUAAAUCAGUCGUGGUCCAAAUGGGCCAGUGCAAAUCCUACUUGGAUAACUGUGGUAAUUCCAGAGCUAAUACAUGCAACUGAUAUCCCGAAGGCGGUGUUUGGGCUUGCUUGCCUUGCGCUGCGCUGCUCUGACGGAUGCUUUUAUUAGACCAAGCCGCUGAGGACUUGAGGGUUCGCGCUCUCUUGUCUGACUCGUGUGAUGGUGACUCUGGAUAACCAAAUUCUGACAAGCGCACGUACUUCUCUUCUGAGCGAGACGGCGCUGCCACUUUCGAGUGUCUGCCUUAUCAGCUAUCAACCGUUCGUUAUGCGCGACCGAUGGCUUUGACGGGUAACGGGGAAUCAGGGUUCGAUUCCGGAGAGGCAGCCUGAGAGACGGCUACCACGUCCAAGGACGGCAGCAGGCACGCAAAUUACCCAAUCCCAGCAAAUGGGGGAGGUAGUGACGAAAUCUAACGAUGCGGGCGCCCUUUCUGGGGCCCCGCAAUCGGAAUGGGCACUUUCUAAACAACCUGUUGAGAACCUACUGAAGGGCAAGUCUG
rnacentral:rRNA from 1 species